rnacentral:rRNA from 1 species
UACGUAGGGGGCAAGCGUUGUCCGGAUUUAUUGGGCGUAAAGAGCGUGUAGGCGGUUUGGUAGGUCCGCUGUGAAAACUUGAGGCUCAACCUCGAGACGCCGGUGGAAACCAUCAGACUAGAGUCCGGAAGAGGAGAGUGGAAUUCCUGGUGUAGCGGUGAAAUGCGCAGAUAUCAGGAAGAACACCCGUGGCUAAGGCGGCUCUCUAGUACGGUACUGACGCUGAGACGCGAAAGCGUGGGGAGCGAACAGG